rnacentral:rRNA from 1 species
UACAGAGGUCCCAAGCGUUGUUCGGAUUCACUGGGCGUAAAGGGUGCGUAGGUGGCGGGGUAAGUUUGAUGUGAAAUCUCCGGGCUUAACCCGGAAACUGCAUUGAAUACUAUUCUGCUCGAGGUUUGGAGGGGGGACUGGAAUUCUCGGUGUAGCAGUGAAAUGCGUAGAUAUCGAGAGGAACACCAGUGGCGAAGGCGAGUCCCUGGACAACUCCUGACACUGAGGCACGAAAGCUAGGGGAGCAAACAGG